AUUGAACGCUGGCGGCAUGCCUUACACAUGCAAGUCGAACGGUAACGCGGGGCAACCUGGCGACGAGUGGCGAACGGGUGAGUAAUACAUCGGAACGUGCCCAGUAAUGGGGGAUAGCCCGGCGAAAGCCGGAUUAAUACCGCAUACGACCUAAGGGAGAAAGAGGGGGAUCGCAAGACCUCUCGAUAUUGGAGCGGCCGAUGGCAGAUUAGGGAGUUGGUGGGGUAAAGGCCUACCAAGCCGACGAUCUGUAGCUGGUCUGAGAGGACGACCAGCCACACUGGGACUGAGACACGGCCCAGACUCCUACGGGAGGCAGCAGUGGGGAAUUUUGGACAAUGGACGCAAGUCUGAUCCAGCAAUGCCGCGUGCGGGAAGAAGGCCUUCGGGUUGUAAACCGCUUUUGUCAGGGAAGAAAUCUUCUGGGUUAAUACCUCGGGAGGAUGACGGUACCUGAAGAAUAAGCACCGGCUAACUACGUGCCAGCCGCCGCCGUAAGAC
rnacentral:rRNA from 1 species